rnacentral:rRNA from 1 species
GAACGCUGGCGGAAUGCUUACACAUGCAAGUCGAACGGUAGAGGGGGCAACCCUUGAGAGUGGCGAACGGUGAGUAAUAUAUCGGAACGUGCCCAGUCGUGGGGAUAACGUAGCGAAAGUUACGCUAAUACCGCAUACGAUCUAAGGAUGAAAGCGGGGGAUCGCAAGACCUCGCGCGAUUGGAGCGGCCGAUAUCAGAUUAGGUAGUUGGUGAGGUAAAGGCUCACCAAGCCAACGAUCUGUAGCUGGUCUGAGAGGACGACCAGCCACACUGGAACUGAGACACGGUCCAGACUCCUACGGGAGGCAGCAGUGGGGAAUUUUGGACAAUGGACGCAAGUCUGAUCCAGCCAUUCCGCGUGCAGGAUGAAGGCCCUCGGGUUGUAAACUGCUUUUGUACGGAACGAAAAGGUUUCUAUUAAUACUAGGAGCUCAUGACGGUACCGUAAGAAUAAGCACCGGCUAACUACGUG